UUGAACAUUAGAAAUUCAAUGUUGAGAGCUUCGGUUUUUUUACACUAAGAUUUUAGAGUGAAAUUGGCAGUCUUCAUUCUAAGAAUCCAGCUUUGAGGGUGAGAGAUAGGCUGAUUUUUCAGAACUUGAAAUUCAGUCCUUGAGAGCUAAAAACUGAAAGUGAAGCCUUUUCUUUACUGUUGAAAAUCAGAACUCUGGUACUGCUUCUGUGGAUUGUAUUUGGUACUACUGAUUUUCACAUUGGCUUUCCUGGGUAUUCUGAUUUACUGUUGAAAAUUAGAACUUACUUACUGCACCUGUGGAUUGCAUUUGCUACUAUUAAUUCUCAGAUUGGCUUUCCUAGGUUUUCUGCUUGGUUUUUGAGUACCGUUUCAUUGAGUUCCUGGGUUUCUACUUAGGUUUCUGGUCUGCACUUGUUUUCUGCUACUGUUACAAUGGUUUUUACUAUCUCUGGUGCAUCUGUGUUGCUGUUUGGUUUUUUGAAACUGCUAUUGGUUUUCCUGAGAUCUGUUAUGUUGGGUUUCUGCCUAUUGCUGGUAAAUUUGCAUGUUGUUAUUACUGCACAUGCUCAUCCUCCUCUUCUUCCUCUAUUUGUCUAUUUCCAGGUACACUUUUGAACCACUAUGAUGUAGCCGUAGCUUAGUAGACAAAGAAUCACUUGUGUAGUCUCGUUUUGAAAUUCAAUGGAAAUAUGGACUGUGGAGUUAUGCAGUUGAAUGGAACUGUCUUCUUUUGUUUAAAAUUGCAAUCUGUAGUGAUUAGUUGUGUAUUUAAUGCAG
rnacentral:lncRNA from 1 species